rnacentral:tRNA from 1 species
GGAGGGAUGCCCGAGUGGCCAAAGGGAACGGACUGUAAAUCCGUCGGCGCAGCCUACGAAGGUUCAAAUCCUUCUCCCUCCACCA